AACGAACGCUGGCGGCAGGCUUAACACAUGCAAGUCGAACGCAUCCUUUUAGGGUGAGUGGCAGACGGGUGAGUAACGCGUGGGAACGUGCCCUUCAGUUCGGGAUAACCCAGGGAAACUUGGGCUAAUACCGGAUACGUGCGAGAGCAGAAAGAUUUAUCGCUGAAGGAUCGGCCCGCGUCUGAUUAGCUAGUUGGGGGGGUAAUGGCCCACCAAGGCGACGAUCAGUAGCUGGUCUGAGAGGAUGAUCAGCCACAUUGGGACUGAGACACGGCCCAAACUCCUACGGGAGGCAGCAGUGGGGAAUAUUGGACAAUGGGCGCAAGCCUGAUCCAGCCAUGCCGCGUGAGUGAUGAAGGCCUUAGGGUUGUAAAGCUCUUUCGUCCGGGACGAUAAUGACGGUACCGGAAGAAGAAGCCCCGGCUAACUUCGUGCCAGCAGCCGCGGUAACAC
rnacentral:rRNA from 1 species